AAAUGGGGUCAAGGUCAUAUAAAAUUGGCAUUGUCUAUCAAUUACAUGAACUAAAUAUAAUAUUUCUUGUCUUUGGUAAACAUGUAUGUAUAUUAUGUGCUUAAAUAUAUUAAACAUUCCAUCCUUAGAAAAUUCAUGAAAUGUAUCUGAGGGUGCAUAUUUAAUGGAGUGUCCAAUUUUCAAUAUGAUGAUUUUUUGUUAGUUGAUUCACUCUUACCAUUGGACUUCUUUGGUUAAACUGGAGUUCUGUGACAAGUGUUGCAGUAGAAAUGACUCGGUUAAUAGCUGUAUCCUCAACCACUGUUACAUAGUAGGUAUUUGAAGGAGAUGCCAUUUUUUUAAAUAAGCCUUUGAAAAGUAACAAAGAUGCAUACUAAAACAAGGAAUUUGUGAAGACUUGAUGAAGAAGAGUGAUAAGAGAUAGAUUCAAUCCAUAAAUAGAUUCAUUUAAUAUAUUAGUACAAUAAGAAAAUGAUGCUGUGAGAU